rnacentral:sRNA from 1 species
UUUAUGAUUAUGUAUGGAAAUGAUAAUAGAAUUG